GCCAGGAUGGCAGAGCGGUUUAGCACCCUAGGGAAAAAAGAAAUUGCUACGCAAAAUGCGCCAGCCUUGAGAGCUGGUGUCCCUCCGGGGACGCGGGAGUUCGAAUCUCCCUCCUGGCG
rnacentral:tRNA from 1 species